UACAGAGGUCCCAAGCGUUGUUCGGAUUUACUGGGCGUAAAGCGUGCGCAGGCGGUUUUGUAAGUCUGUCGUGAAAUCCCCGGGCUUAACCUGGGAAUGGCGAUGGAGACUGCAAGGCUAGAGUUUGGCAGAGGGGGGUAGAAUUCCACGUGUAGCAGUGAAAUGCGUAGAGAUGUGGAGGAACACCGAUGGCGAAGGCAGCCCCCUGGGUCAAAACUGACGCUCAUGCACGAAAGCGUGGGGAGCAAACAGG
rnacentral:rRNA from 1 species